rnacentral:tRNA from 1 species
GAUAAAGUGACUGAAUUAAAGUGUUAAAUUGUAAAUUUAUUUAUGGAGUUAUUCUCCCUUUAUUA